GUCCUCUCAGGGUCGCACCUGGAGAGUUUCUGACACUCUACCAGUCUCGACUACAGGAGGAAGAGUCAAGCGGAGGCAUACCCAUUCCAUUCCUACCUCGGGCAGUGGCUAGUGAGUGGAAGGCAACCUGCUACAAGU